GGGAAUAACAGUGAGAAAUCAUUGCUAAUACCGCAUAUGCUCACAGUAUCACAUGAUACAGUGAGGAAAGGAGUAAUCCGCUGAUAGAUGGGCUUGCGUCUGAUUAGUUAGUUGGUGGGGUAACGGCCUACCAAGACUACGAUCAGUAGCCGGACUGAGAGGUUGAACGGCCACAUUGGGACUGAGAUACGGCCCAGACUCCUACGGGAGGCAGCAGUCGGGAAUAUUGCGCAAUGGAGGAAACUCUGACGCAGUGACGCCGCGUAUAGGAAGAAGGUUUUCGGAUUGUAAACUAUUGUCAUUAGGGAAGAUAAAAGACUGUACCUAAGGAGGAAGCCCCGGCUAACUAUGUGCCAGCAGCCGCGGUAAUACAUAGGGGGCAAGCGUUAUCCGGAAUUAUUGGGUGUAAAGGGUGCGUAGACGGAAGAACAAGUUGGUUGUGAAAUCCCUCGGCUCAACUGAGGAACUGCAACCAAAACUAUUCUCCUUGAGUGUCGGAGAGGAAAGUGGAAUUCCUAGUGUAGCGGUGAAAUGCGUAGAUAUUAGGAGGAACACCAGUGGCGAAGGCGACUUUCUGGACGAUAACUGACGUUGAGGCACGAAAGUGUGGGGAGCAAACAGGAUUAGAUACCCUGGUAGUCCACACUGUAAACGAUGGA
rnacentral:rRNA from 1 species